rnacentral:tRNA from 2 species
GCUCCGUUAGCAUAAUGGAUAGUGCGUGGCUCUCCUAAAGCCACGAUCUGGGUUCGAUCCCCAGGCGGAGCU